CCUAGAAGAGAGAAUAGCUACAGAUUCUCCAUCCUCAGUCUCUGCAAAGGGACGGCUGUGCCAGCCGUGCUCGGGCAGGCUCCUGGCAGCAUGGCAGAGAAGCUCGGGGCGCUCCUGCUGGCCCUUGUUCUCAGCCUGGCACAGCCAGCCCCGGCCUGCCGGAAGCUCCUGGUGUUUCUGCUGGAUGGUUUUCGCUCUGACUACAUCAGUGAUGAGGUCCUGGAGUCCUUGCCUGGUUUCAGGGAGAUUGUGAGCAGGGGGGUGAAAGCGGAUUACUUGACCCCAGACUUUCCCAGUCUCUCGUACCCCAAUUACUACAGCCUAAUGACUGGUCGCCAUUGUGAGGUCCAUCAGAUGAUCGGGAACUAUAUGUGGGACCCCGCCACCAACAAGUCAUUUGACAUAGGGGUCAACAGAGACAGCCUGAUGCCUCUCUGGUGGAAUGGAUCAGAACCUCUGUGGAUCACUCUGACCAAGGCCAAAAGGAAGGUCUACAUGUACUACUGGCCAGGCUGUGAGGUUGAGAUUCUUGGUGUCAGACCUACUUACUGCCUAGAAUAUAAAAAUGUCCCAACGGAUAUCAAUUUUGCCAAUGCAGUCAGCGAUGCUCUUGACUUCUUCAAGAGCGGCCAGGCGGACCUGGUGGCCAUCUACUACGAGCGCAUCGAUGUGGAAGGCCACCACUAUGGGCCCUCGUCGCCACAGAGGAAAGAAGCCCUGAGGGCCGUGGACACCGUCCUGAAGUACAUGACCACGUGGAUCCAGGAGCGCGAGCUGCAGGACGACCUCAACGUCAUCAUCUUCUCAGAUCACGGGAUGACUGACAUUUUCUGGAUGGACAAAGUGAUUGAGCUGGAUAAGUACAUCAGCCUCCAUGACCUGCAGCAGGUGAAGGACCGAGGGCCGGUUGUGAGCCUGUGGCCGGCGCCCGGGAAGCAUUCUGAGAUAUAUAACAAAUUGAGAACAGUGGAGCACAUGACUGUCUACAAGAAGGAGGCCAUCCCGAGCAGGUUCUACUACAAGAAGGGGAAAUUUGUCUCUCCUUUGACCUUAGUGGCCGAUGAAGGAUGGUUCAUAACUGAGAAUCGAGAGACGCUUCCAUUCUGGAUGAACAGCACUGACAAGAGGCAAGGCUGGCAGCGCGGAUGGCACGGAUACGACAACGAGCUCAGGGACAUGCGGGGCAUCUUCCUGGCCUUCGGACCCGAUUUCAAAUCCAACUUCAGAGCCGCUCCCAUCAGAUCCGUGGAUGUCUACAACGUCAUGUGCAACGUGGCAGGCGUCGCCCCCCUGCCCAACAACGGGUCCUGGUCCCGGGUGACAUGCAUGCUGAAGGACCCGGCCAGCUCGGCCCUGGCUGCGCGGCCGGGCGCCUGCACGUUGGCCUUGGCGCUGCUGGCGCUGCUGUCCUGAACUGCUAGCGCGGUGUGUGCCGUGCCCCACGGGGGAGGCCUGGCCGUCUCCUGUUUCACUAAUAGCUUCGUCAGUUCAGUCAAGGCCAUACAAUUGUAAAUGUAUUAGUCUUGGAUGGUUCUAUACAUAAAAGUCCCUAUUUCUUAAAAAAACAAAAACAAAACCACUUUGCUUUUUCUGGAGGUAAGGAAACUCCUAGCUUUUCAUUUGUUCAACUAUAGGUUAUUUUCUCCUUGCGUUCCAGGUACUCAGAUGAACUAAGCAGGGCCUCCCCGUGUAGCGACCAGACCUUGGGCGGGUAUUCCAUAGAAUCCCGGCCCCUCUCUGGCCUGCUCUGCACAAAGCAGGCCCUUGUCUGUGCCCUGCCUAAACCCGGGAGCCACCCUCAGGGUCUACGGCCACCAUCCCAUACUGCUCCUUCCGUCUGGGACAAAGGAGGCCCAUGUGAAGCAGUAGCUGCUAUUUCUAACUCAGCUCGUGGGGUUUCUUCACCUUAUACAAAGUCCCAGAAAGGGCAUAUCUGAGCUUGGCUCACCCAGCAAUAAAAAUCAAUGGGAACUGCAGAAUUCAUGGAACAAAUUGAAAGACAUGCGUUCCUUCCCGAAGUCCGAGUGCACGAAAGUUUCUCCCUGCCUGAAGGAGCAGAAGAGUUUCCAAUAGAUACGGGCUUCUGUGAGCCUCCUUGUAGCGUAUCGUGGUGUGAACAUGCACACGGCAGGCGCUGGAUUGCCUGUGGGAAGGCUCACUCAGAGGCUGCCUCUCUUUGGAAACCCGUACAGAGUGUAGACACUAGCGACCCCUGACAUCAUCACGGGCGGGGAAAGGGGUGUCUGGCUGAUGAUGGUGUGGACAUACUUAAAGAAAUCUCACGUCAUUGCUUGAAAUGGUGAUGCAAUUAAGCGUAAGUUUGAUGCACCAGUGUCCUGGAGCACUGCUUAUUCAACAACCACAGCAAAGUGGACCCCUGAGUGACCCAGAAUUCCAAGGAAAAUGGUGGGGCACAGGGAAUGGCGGCCACAUGAUGGAGUCAAAUCCCAGUCACUAACCACUUAGCCACUGGAUUAGGAAACAGUCUGGUCAAAGCGCCACCUCAGAGACCUUAAGAAACCCCGAAGAAGAGGCACUGAGCCUGAGAUGAAAUGUUUUUAGUUUAGUCUUCUAAGUUUGCUGUAGGAGCUCUUGUUGCAAAACAAGGGAUAACUGCAUUUCUAUAUGAUCAGAGUCAUAUACAUAUAUCAUCGCAUUAAAAAUGAGUUUGCACUAAACGAGGCACAUCUGCAAAUGAGGCUUUUUGUCAGGAAAGGGCAAAAGAUCAGGUCUCGUCAGGACGAUGAAGCCCUCAUGUGUUGUUUACCUUGAAAAAUGAAAAUGUAUGCUCCCCCUGAUUCAACAAGGUUGGGAACCGUUCCUGGGCCUUGAAUCACGAGAGCAAAGGAUCACUGCUUAAAAAUAUCAAAUUUACCUUCACAGAAGAUUUCUAAGGAUUUAUGUAAUGGGUUUUAAAGUGCCAGCAGACCAUCGAAUCACCUGGGAGGGAAAUCAGCCUUUGUGCCCUGGCCGGAAGCCAAUUAGUGCUUUCGGAACAUUGGCGCUGGUUGUUGCAAUAGGCAUCUAUUGUUCACAGGUUUCUUUCUCCUUAAAGGACUGGGUUCUAAUGAGUCCAGUGCAGCCCACUGUGCUCCCUUGUGAAGGAAGGAGACCUAAAAGAAACCCAGUGAUCCCACAGGGGUAUAAACAGACACACAGCCUCGGGUUUGUCCUUCCUGCCCUGUUCUACCAAUUUUUCCCCUCCCUCGUCCUUCACAUCUUCAAGUUCCAUAAUAAAAUUUCAGAUAUUCGUCUGACAAAGUAUAGUUGCUCAAUAAGUAAUCUUGAAUAGAUAAAUGAGAAUAAGGUACUUUUGGAAUCAUGACUAUUGGUAAAUAAUAAAGAAAAUUCAGACACUGAAUGGAGAAAAAACCUUUUUACCUAAAGCAAUGCAUAUAUUUUAGUGGCUUAAUUAUAUGGCUAGAAUUUUUUCUUUUGAUGUUUUUUUAAAGGUAUGUUAUUUUCCCAAGGAAAGUUCUACUUCCUCUAAACGCAUUUUGUCCCAUCGGAACAAUACCCGCUAGGACGAUACACGCACCUUGUCUCCUGGAUUAUUUUCCCACUUCAUCGCUAAUUCCAGGAGGAAGCUUGGAAGAGACAGAAGAAGGGGGUUCAGAGCCUUGGAUGCUAAAAACGUAGCAUGUGGAGAAGGAGGAAGAGUCCCAGUCACCGGCUCCCUCCCUCCCAUGCCUUCUGAGUCUGAUCUGCCUUUGCUACUGAGAAGUGAGGAGUGGAUGACAGGAGGAAGUGGAGAAAAGCCUUCAAAGGGAGGAAAGUGGUGUUUAUGAAAUCCCCUUCCUGGAAGAGCUGUGUUUCCACCCCUGCCCUUCUGCUACUCAGGAAAGUCUGGCCUCAGUGUGGUGUCAGCAGGACAGGCAGGAGCUGAAUUUCCACCAUAUUCCAGAACCAGGUGGUGUUCAGAAGGACCCCUCCACUCCCACAGUGGCAUCUGGAGGGGAUGGGGGCAGUCUGUCCACUAGAAGCCCUUGAAACUGACCAGUCAGGUCGCAAUGCUGGGACAAGACCCUAAACUGAGGAGACUCUGCCGAAAGUUAAAUCAAAAUCCAGCAAGAUAGGGACAAUAGAGACGAAAGAAAGAGAAGGUCCAGAUAAGCAUGGCAGAAAAAAAGAGAGCCAGGAAUUUCUAGCCAGAAAUGUCAUAUUUUUGAAUACUACAUGAAAACAACAGAAGAAGAUACCGUAUAAGAUCAGAAAGACUAUCCUGCACCACAUCUCCUUCUAAAGUUUAGAAAAAUUAAUUUCAAAUAAAAAUGUAAAAAGUAUUCAAGUCAAAUUCCAUAUUAAGAUACUAUUUUUAAAUGAUAAUAAGGAGCAGAAUAGUAGUCCAACAGUCAGUGAAAUCGUGCCAGAAAGACCUGAUCACAAAGCGGACUGAAACCAUGACUUACUAUUUCAAGAUGAGCCAAAAUACAUUAAGAAAACAAUAUGAAAGAACAACAUAAAUCAAAUUAUAAGAAGGCAGAAAGGGUUGAACUCAAGAACGAAUAAGAUAUAAAAAUAAUUUCAGAAAUAAAAUCUAAGCUAGAUGGACCAGAGAGUUAAUAAUCACAACAGAUAAUGCCUUAGGAGGAAUAUAAGGUAAAAGAGAGGGUUAAAAAAUCAAAAUUAAGAGAUUAAAAAAAAAGACUCAAGAGAAAGUGACAAAUACUGAAGACAAGUAAAGAACACUGAAUAUACAGUAACACGAAUCCAAGAAGAAGAAAACCAAAGCAAAGGAAUAGAAUAAAUAUUAAAACUGUAAUGCAAGGAAACUUUUUUGAAAUUAAAAAGAAAAAAGUUAACACUAUAUACUGAAAGAAUACUUCACAUAUCUGAGACUGUCAACCAGAACCACUAAUAUCAAACCCACAAAUUACUGGAUUUUAAGACCAAGAAAAAAUCCUUUGGGCAUCUAAGCAAAAAGAGGAAGUGAUUUAUAAUAAAAAUGCCUUUUUCAACACAAUAGGACAGAAGAAAAUGGACUAACAUAUUUGAGAUACUAAUGAAAAGAAAAUGCAAGUCAAGGAUUUUUAUAUCCAGCAAAACUGACUUUCAAGUAUGAAAGGUUCAAAUUGUUAUCAAUAGGAAAGAAUUUAGGAAAUACUGUGCCCACGAGUCUUUUCUGAUGAAUCUAUUAGAGCACAAGCUUCAGACAAUCAAACUGACCAGGGACACAUGGACAUAAGGCCUAGUGAUGAACAUGAAAUAAACAGUUAUUACAGAACAAGGGAGAGAGGGCACUGUGCAGUGUCUAUGUGCUUUGGCAAUGUAGAUAUGGUAUAACUUUUUAAGUGGAGGGAAGAUAAAUGGGGAGAGACUUUGCAAAAAAAAAAAAUUAACUCUUGUCAGUAGUCUUACUGGUGGUGGGAAUAUCUGUACUCUUGUCCUGAGACUAUUGUGUAAGUAAUGUAAAGCAUGAGAGUUAAUAUGGGAUAUUCUAAUUAUAUCAUUCCUGUGUCAUUGAGAACCAGGAUUUGCAGAGUGGAAGAAAAGAGAUGCAGAUAUAAACUGGAAGAGGGUAAAAAAACUCCUAUGUCCUGAACUUGAAUUAGAAAUAUCAUUGUACAACAUGGGGAAUAUAUCCCAUUUUUAUAAUGACUAUAAAUGCAGUAUAACCUUUAAAAAUUAUGAAUCACUAUAUUGUACACCUGUAACAUAUAAUA